rnacentral:rRNA from 1 species
AAAAACAUCUUCUCUUGCUUUUAUUUGAGAUAUGACCUGCCCAAUGAUUUUUUAAUGGCCGCGGUAUUUUGACCGUGCAAAGGUAGCAUAAUCAUUAGUUUAUUAAUUGUGGACUGGAAUGAAUGGUUGGACGAGAUAUUCACUGUCUCUUUAUUAUUUAUUGAAUUUAAUUUUUUUGUUAAAAAGCUUAAAUGUUUUUGUAGGACGAGAAGACCCUAUAGAUCUUAAAUUUUUUAUUUGUUAUUUUAUUUGGUUUAUUUAUGUUUAAUUUUUAUAUUAUUUUGGUUGGGGUGACUAGGGGAUAUAAUUAACUCCUUUUAUUAUUAUACAUUUAUAUUUGAUUUUGUGACCUUAUUUUAUUGUUAUAAGAUUUAGAUACCUUAGGGAUAACAGCGUAAUUUUCCUUGAGAGUUCAUAUCGACGGGAUAGAUUGCGACCUCGAUGUUGAAUUAAGAUUAUUUUAUGGUGUAGAAGCUAUAUUAAUAGGUCUGUUCGACCUUUAAAUUCUUACAUGAUCUGAG